AUUCGAAAUAUACAGUUUUAAUAAAUUGUGUGUUAAUAUUAUGCACUCCUUAUUCGGAAUAACUUUUGUUUUAUUAAAAAGUACUUAGAGUAAAGUUUGUAACAAUCUUGUUUUCUAUUAUACAUCUUAAGAAAUGGAGGAAGUUAUCAAUGGAGGAAGUUGCAUUAAGUAUAUUAUAAGGUAUGGUAUAAUUUUAGAUAGUACAUUCGCAUGUUCAUUUAUUUGCCUAUGAUGCAAUCUAUAUUUGCUACUCUUGAUGUCACAAGAUGAUGAGUAACCACCAAGAUCUCUGAGGCAAAUGUUGAAUUUUCAAUGCAACAACAUGUAUGUGCAAGGGUAAUGGCCUAACUUGUUUUUUUUUCUUGAUAGGAGAUCCUAGGGCCUUGAAAGUUCCUGCCUAUUCAACAUCUCAGAAGCAAGAAAAUACUUCUUAUGUAACACUUUGUUAAAAUGACCACGUAACAAAUUAAUCAAUAAAAAUUGAAAUCACCAAUUGUGUGCUUCUGUAGU